rnacentral:rRNA from 1 species
UACGUAGGAGGCAAGCGUUGUCCGGAGUUACUGGGCGUAAAGCGCACGCAGGCGGUCGCAUCAGUCUGGGGUGACAGUUCCCGGCUUAACCGGAAAAGGACUCUGGAAACUGUGCGACUUGAGGGCUUCAGAGGGAUGUGGAAUUCCAGGUGGAGUGGUGAAAUGCGCAGAUAUCGGGAAGAACACCCGUGGCGAAGGCGGCUCUCUGGAGCGCAACUGACGCUGAGACGCGAAAGCGUGGGGAGCAAACAGG